rnacentral:rRNA from 1 species
UACGGAAGGCAGCAGUGGGGAAUAUUGCACAAUGGGCGCAAGCCUGAUGCAGCCAUGCCGCGUGUAUGAAAAAGGCCUUCGGGUUGUAAAGUACUUUCAAUCGUGAGGAAGGUGUUAAGGUUAAUAACCUUAGCAAUUGACGUUAGCGACAGAAGAAGCACCGGCUAACUCCGUGCCAGCAGCCGCGGUAAUACGGAGGGUGCGAGCGUUAAUCGGAAUUACUGGGCGUAAAGGGCACGCAGGCGGUUAAUUAAGUUGGAUGUGAAAUCCCCGGGCUUAACCUGGGAAUGGCAUUCAAGACUGGUUAGCUAGAGUCUUGUAGAGGGGGUAGAAUUCCAUGUGUAGCGGUGAAAUGCGUAGAGAUGUGGAGGAAUACCGGUGGCGAAGGCGGCCCCGUGGACAAAGACUGACGCUCAUGUGCGAAAGCGUGGGGAGCGAAACGAGGGAUUAGAUACC